rnacentral:rRNA from 1 species
AUUGAACGCUAGCGGGAUGCUCUACACAUGCAAGUCGAACGGCAGCGCGGACUUCGGUCUGGCGGCGAGUGGCGAACGGGUGAGUAAUGUAUCGGAACGUGCCCAGUAGCGGGGGAUAACUACGCGAAAGCGUAGCUAAUACCGCAUACGCCCUACGGGGGAAAGCAGGGGAUCGUAAGACCUUGCACUAUUGGAGCGGCCGAUAUCGGAUUAGCUAGUUGGUGAGGUAACGGCUCACCAAGGCGACGAUCCGUAGCUGGUUUGAGAGGACGACCAGCCACACUGGGACUGAGACACGGCCCAGACUCCUACGGGAGGCAGCAGUGGGGAAUUUUGGACAAUGGGGGCAACCCUGAUCCAGCCAUCCCGCGUGUGCGAUGAAGGCCUUCGGGUUGUAAAGCACUUUUGGCAGGAAAGAAACGUCGCGGGCUAAUACCCCGUGGAACUGACGGUACCUGCAGAAUAAGCACCGGCUAACUACGU